rnacentral:rRNA from 1 species
AGUGAACGCUGGCGGUAGGCCUAACACAUGCAAGUCGAACGGCAGCACAGUAAGAGCUUGCUCUUACGGGUGGCGAGUGGCGGACGGGUGAGGAAUACAUCGGAAUCUACUUUUUCGUGGGGGAUAACGUAGGGAAACUUACGCUAAUACCGCAUACGACCUACGGGUGAAAGCAGGGGAUCUUCGGACCUUGCGUGAUUGAAUGAGCCGAUGUCGGAUUAGCUAGUUGGCGGGGUAAAGGCCCACCAAGGCGACGCUCCGUAGCUGGUCUGAGAGGUUGAUCGGCCACACGAGAACGGAGACACGGUCAAGGCUCCUACGGGAGGCAGCAGUCGGGAAUAUUGGACAAUGGGCGCAAGCCUAAUCCAGCCAUACCGCGGGGGUGAAGAAGGCCUUCGGUUUGUAAAGCCCUUUUGUUGGGAAAGAAAAGCAGCAGGUUAAUACCCCGCUGUUCUGACGGUACCCAAAGAAUAAGCACCGGCUAACUUCGUG